AUCAGUUUGAUUGAUUAAUUAAUCACGUACUAAAUUGUACUUUGAAAUUUAUACAUAAAAGAAGUUGGUAGAAAAACGUUAAAAAAUUUUGACACGGCGUGUCCAAACUGUUGAAGGUGGAGGGCUGUGAUUCUCAUUGAUCCACAUUCCUUGAGGGCACGAUAAAGGAUCGCAAAACAAGUGUUUUGCGUCCAAGUGGACGAAAACGCACUUCCUGACUAAAAAAUCUUAGAUACUGGCAAGGGAUGAACACAAGAUCACUUCUCCGGCGGCAGUCUAUAAAGUUAUGAUAGCUUUGUUGAUAAUCGGCAACUGAUAGAAGAUGGUACAGCAAUCAAGAGAAAAAAGUUCAAGAUUUCUUCAGCAUUUUCUGAUUAGAAAUUAUUUGGUGACAGAAAGGCAAGUGAUGACUAAUAUUUCCAUUUGCUCAAUAGUGCAGCAGUACAGCCCAGGCUUAGACUCAGGUCAAGACAUUCUACAAAUCUUGUUGCUACCUUGUUAAUAAACCCAGGCCAACUACAAACCAACACAAAAUGCCAAAAUGUUGUAUCUGUGUGUCGUAACUUAUCAUCCCUGGCGGAUACGGGAUGCAGUUUCGUGAUAAUUAUAGAAAACAAUACAACAAUGUGUAUUUCUGAGAAUAAUAACACUACCAUAUAAUAUAAACUACCCACAUAAAGCACAGGACCAUACAAAGUGGAGUUUUAGAGAGGUAUAAGUCCAAUAUUGGACUAUUGUGGACAACAACGCAGAGACAAAUAAUAUAACAUGCAGAACAGUGUUGGCAGUAUUGUGUUAUAAAAUAAACAAUUAAGUGGAGAUUAGACCGAAUGAGGUCAAUUCCUUUAUUAGUGUCGUUAAAAACAAGUUUGACCCCAAUGAUUAUGUAGGAAUAAACGUAAAUUUUCAUA